CUGUUCUGAUCUAGGGUUUUACAGCUUUCACUUACUCCAUAAGAGUAAGCUCUGCCCCUUCGAGUUUACAGUUUUCAGUUUCUAUUAGAUUUGUUUGUUUUCAUCUAAUUUCCUUUGGCCUAUGAUUAAAAUUCUUAAAUAUAGACAAGCAUAUGUCUGAAUUUUCAUCAUGUUGAAUACCUAAUCUUCUCUAUGAGGCCAAUUACAUCUAUUUUUUUUUUUUAUGUUUUUCUAUCCAGAUUUCUACUUUUUGUGCUCAAUAAUUCAAACAAAAAACUGGGUCAUAUGAUGAUUAGAAGCAUAGUUCAAAUGAAAUCUAUGUGAUUACAAAACUUCUUUUUUAGUCUUUCGCUCCUAUCUGAUGACUCUUUUUAUUACUAUUAAAAAUCUGAUUUUUAAGCAAUUAAUUGUUGUAUUUUUUUUGAAAAAUUGAAAUGGUUAAUGGACAAUGACGAUUUAUCUAUUGGUCUCGUUCGUCGUAAUGGUGUUUAAACCACCUUGCCGACCAUUCUGAUAUAUCACCACCCAUAAACUGAGUCCUAUUACUAUACCUUUUUUUUUGUUUAUUUUUCAAUUUAGUUCUUCGUUUCUGGUGCUGUGAUGAAAAAAAUCUUGUGUCGGAGGCUUUUUGUCGCUGAUGGUUUACACAACCCUCUAAGAAGUUCUGAGCACUUUUUUUGUUUUCAAUUUCAGUAUUUUUUCUGAUUAUUUAGUAGUAGUAAUUGAAUGAUAAGUAAUUUAUUUUGAGGAUGAAUGAAGUGAUGAUAGAAUUCAUAUGUUAAUUCACUGAAUUACAUUUUUAUGAUGUUAAGAGUGAAUCCCGACAGGUUCUGAUCGUUUAUUAGUUAAUUAAUCCUCCAUUAAUUGUGAUUUUGCUUUGUUAAUUUUAUGUCUUGUGGGCAAAUGAUGAAAUUUUUAUAUCGUAAAUGGGUAAUUUGCGUCUGAAUCUUUCUUUGAUGUUAUAACCUUGGAGAACUGAUGCCCUUUAAACUUUUUACUUUGCAUUUUGUUUUCAUAAUGCCAAUUAGCAGAGCAAAGGUGUCUUUCACAAAUGACACACAUUUGCAUUGAAGGUUGGCUAUAUAUAUAUAGCGAUUCUCCGUGCCUUUCAAGCUUUUUUCUCGUAUUGAUUACGGCCUCGAACAAAUUGCUACAUUUUCUCCCUUCACUGUUGUGCUUAUUUGGUACCUUAGUUGCUUUGUUUUUAACGUAGACAAUUUGCAGAGCAAGGGUGUCUUUCAAAAUGACAUACAUUUGCAUUGAAGGUUGGCCAUAUGUAUAGCGAUUCUCCGUGCCUUUCAAGCUUUCUUCUCGUAUUGAUUACGGCCUCGAACAAAUUGCUACAUCCACCAAUUAUUAUGGUACAUUUAUCUAUAAAUUUGGUUAUAUAAAUGACUUGAUCUUGACAAUGAGUUUGUAUUAUCUAAUUUUAGUUUAAGUUUCUUAAUUAUGCAUAAACUAUUAAAUUUGUGAUCUUAGUAGUUACUCUCUGUAGUAAAUUUGUUUAUUAUCAUUGGCCGAUGAUUAAAUUUCUAAUAUAGACAAGCAUAUGACUGAAUUUUCAUUAUGUUGAAUACCUAAUCUUCUCUAUGAGGCCAAUCAUAUUUUUUCCAUAUUGUUAUGCUUCCUGUGUUCAAUAGUUUUAUAAAAAUAGUUUUUUUUUGUGUUGUCAUUGUUUAUAAACGGGUCAUAUGAUGAUUAAAAGCAUAGUUCAAAUGAAUUCUUUGUGAUUAUAAAACAAUCUUUAUAGUCUUUCGCUCCUAUCUGAUGACUCCUUUUUUAUUUGUGUUAAAGGUAUGAUUUGUUUUUGAAAAUUUUGAAAGGGUUAAUGGACUAUGACGACUUAUAUCUAUUGGUCUCGUUCGUCGUAAUGGUGUUUAAACCACCUUGCCGACCAUUCUGAUAUAUCACCACCCAUAAACUGAGUCCUAUUACUAAACUUUGCUAUUAAUUCUUUUAUUUUCCUGUUCAUUUUGAGAUGUAAUGGUUAUUUUUUACUUUUAUGGUGCUUUGAUGAAAAAAUCUUGUGUCGGAGACUCUGGUCUGUGAUGGCUUACACAACCCUCUAAGAAGUUCUGAGCACUAUUUUUUUUUUAUUUCCAAACACGGAGUAUUGUUUUUCUCGCAAGUAUUCAAUUUUUUAAGAUUAUUUGUUAUGUUAAUGUCUUGUGAGGAGUAACGAAGUGAUGAUAGAAUUCAUAAGUCUGUCAAUCCACUGAAAUACAUUUUAUGAUGUAAAGUGUGAAUCCCGACAGGUUCUGAUCGUUAAGUGAAUAAUCCUCCAUUUACUUUUCCUUUUUGCGCUUACUCAUUUUUGAACUUUAGUUUUAUGGGCAACUGAUGAAUCUUAUAUAUCGUAAAUGGGUAAUUUGCGUCUGAAUCUUUUCAUUGAUGCUAUCAACCUUGGAGAACUGAUGCCCUUGAAAAAUUUUAUUUUGUAUUUGAAUGAUUUUGAUGUGGGCUAGUAACUUUUGGAUGAUUGGUCUGAUAAGAGUAUAGGAGUGGGAAAUUAGGGUGAUCAGUGAUGGAGUGUAGGCCUCCCGUGAUGUGCCCUUGUUUCCUAGAGAAUGGCAAGUAACUAAUGUGGGAUCGUGUAACCGACAUUGCAAUCGAUGAUGACAACCCUUCCAAUACGAUUCAACAUCGGUUACUUUUCUACCAACUAAGUUAUGCAGCUGUCUUGGAGAUUGUAA
rnacentral:lncRNA from 1 species